rnacentral:lncRNA from 1 species
CGUGGAUACACUGUGAGUAUGCUCAGGGAGUUGUAUUAGAGAGCUGGUAGCUCCGCUGUGUUGCAUCUGUCAGAAAUGCUUACGGAGCAGCCACAAAUAGAAAUGCCACUUAUUCUGCAUGGCUGCUGGCCACUUCCACACCCCGAACAAUGGCCAGUUACUGUCUGGAAUGAAGGCGCAGACAUCACUAGCUUGAGUUAAUGAAAUUAAAAGUCCAAGACGAUCCUGGGCUGGGGAGUGAGAGUGAAGUGAAGUCUCCUCUGGGCAGCCGCGGCCCUAAACCCCCAACCAGCGAUCUCCACUACUCCCUCCCACAGAAACAGGGUCUGAGCCCUGACUGGGACAUCAGGAGAUCUUACAGUUGCGCACUUCCCCUUUGUCUGCUCCCCUUCCUUUUGAUUCUGUUCUCUAGUCUGGUCUAGUGUGCGCUUUGCGGAGAAAGAGAAGCCACAGAAGAGGGAGGCAGGACGUGCAGUGUCGAGGCGGACGCUGCCCCUCUGGCCUGGCUCCUGAUGCCGACUCCCCUGGCCCACGAGGCCCCUGCCCCAGAUGCCGCCUGCCCUGCUUCUGCUCCCACGGUGUCCCCACUCCAGUCCCACGCCACACCAAGGACCACCAGAGCAGCUCAUCCUUGAAAGCAGAAACACUGAUUGCCAUUCCUGCUCACCGACACUAACCACCACAAGCGGUACCUCGGUGCUUGGACUUAUUUCGUUCCGUGAUUCUGGGGAACAUGUGGACUUCAUCACAGGAAGCAAAGUUUUGCCAAAUGCCUCUGUUCACAAAUGGAAGUGUUCCUGAACCGAGGCAUUAUUGUACUUGAAUUUUGUAUGUUUUGGUGUAUUCCCUCAAUAAGCUUAGAAACCACAAGAGAAAAGAUUCCUAAGCAUUGUUUGGGGAAAAGCCCUUUAGUGAAUGCAUGCAUUGUAAACACUAAUUCAAACUCUCCGUUUAGCUUCUCUAAACAUAGAACUUGGCUAACAUAGAAGCACACAUAAUUUAAAUACAAAAGUGAAAUUCAAAUGAAUCCCCACCAACCUACUGUGCAGCACAAGCAUUCCAUAUAGAUGAGCUUCUCCACGACUUAGUUUUGUUUUUUGUUUUCAUCAUUAAUGCAAAGCCCCAGCAGCAGUCUGAAGUACAAAGUAAACGGAGGGCAAACAGCAACUGCCUGGUAUAAAUGACAGCAGUAAGAGAGCCGUUACAGAGAACACCAUGGCGGCACAAUCCCUGCCAAACAAAUUCUUAUUUCUCAUGCUCCUAAUUUAAUGUGCAUUUGCGAACCCUCUAUAGUACUGGCCCGACUGAGGUGAGAGCCAAUGAGGUUGGUUCAAAGUGAAACUAUGGUGAAACAAACGAC